UAACGCGUGGGUAACCUGCCCUUUUGUGGGGAACAACUUCGAGAAAUCGGAGCUAAUACCGCAUAAUAAUAGAGGAUCGCAUGAUUCUUUAAGGAAAGAUGGCCUCUGAAGAUGCUAUCGCAAAAGGAUGGACCCGCGUCUGAUUAGCUAGUUGGAAGGGUAACGGCCUACCAAGGCAACGAUCAGUAGCCGGCCUGAGAGGGUGAACGGCCACAUUGGGACUGAGACACGGCCCAAACUCCUACGGGAGGCAGCAGUGGGGAAUCUUCCGCAAUGGGCGAAAGCCUGACGGAGCAAUGCCGCGUGAGUGAAGAAGGCCUUCGGGUUGUAAAACUCUGUCCUUAUCGAAGAGAGGUAGGUAUGUGAAUAAUGUACCUAUAGGACGGUAGAUAAGGAGGAAGCCCCGGCUAACUACGUGCCAGCAGCCGCGGUAAUACGUAGGGGGCGAGCGUUGUCCGGAAUCACUGGGCGUAAAGGGCGCGUAGGCGGUUUAAUAAGUCAGUGGUGAAAACUGAGGGCUCAACCCUCAGCCUGCCACUGAUACUGUUAGACUUGAGUAUGGAAGAGGAGAAUGGAAUUCCUAGUGUAGCGGUGAAAUGCGUANAUAUUAGGAGGAACACCAGUGGCGAAGGCGAUUCUCUGGGCCAAGACUGACGCUGAGGCGCGAAAGCGUGGGGAGCAAACAGGAUUAGAUACCCUGGUAGU
rnacentral:rRNA from 1 species